AAAAAAACAUUGGUGUGUUGCCUAUGUUAACUGGCCUGACCUCUCGUAAACUUCAGGAACAUAAUCACCGUUGUUUUUGGCCAUUUGGGUGAACCUCUGUUAUUUAUUUGUGACUCAAGGUUCAGUUAAUGAUGGAACAUUA
rfam:Lupinus angustifolius cultivar Tanjil contig_41056, whole genome shotgun sequence.